AUUUAAAUAGUUUAAAAUAAAAUAUUGAUUUGUGGUGUCAAUGAUAUGAUGUUUUCAUUUUAAAUC
rnacentral:tRNA from 1 species